AUCCGGGUUGCGGACAGUGUCUGGUGGGUAGUUUGACUGGGGCGGUCUCCUCCCAAAGAGUAACGGAGGAGCACGAAGGUUAGCUAAUCCUGGUCGGACAUCAGGAGGUUAGUGCAAUGGCAUAAGCUAGCUUGACUGCGAGAGUGACGGCUCGAGCAGGUGCGAAAGCAGGUCAUAGUGAUCCGGUGGUUCUGAAUGGAAGGGCCAUCGCUCAACGGAUAAAAGGUACUCCGGGGAUAACAGGCUGAUACCGCCCAAGAGUUCAUAUCGACGGCGGUGUUUGGCACCUCGAUGUCGGCUCAUCACAUCCUGGGGCUGAAGUAGGUCCCAAGGGUAUGGCUGUUCGCCAUUUAAAGUGGUACGCGAGCUGGGUUUAGAACGUCGUGAGACAGUUCGGUCCCUAUCUGCCGUGGGCGCUGGAGAAUUGAGGGGGGCUGCUCCUAGUACGAGAGGACCGGAGUGGACGCAUCACUGGUGUUCGGGUUGUCAUGCCAAUGGCACUGCCCGGUAGCUAAAUGCGGAAAAGAUAAGUGCUGAAAGCAUCUAAGCACGAAACUUGCCCCGAGAUGAGUUCUCCCUGAGACUUUAAGUCUCCUGAAGGAACGUU
rnacentral:rRNA from 1 species